rnacentral:tRNA from 2 species
CAGGGUAAAGCUUUUAGAAGCAUUUUACUUACAUUAAAUAGAAUAUUAAAUUUAAUAUGCCUUGA